AUGGAGGAGUUGGGACUCCGUGAAGAUGACAUGGAUGAUGUAGUGGUUGAUGAGGAAUCCGUUCCUGUAGAUGCAAAUAGAUGGAUGGCGGUGGCACGAGUGCAUAUUGACAAACCCUAUAGCCAUGGGUGGUUUUUCAGGAACAUGAGAGCUACAUGGGAUCUAGCACAAUAUGUGAAUUUCAAGCCUCUGGAAGCAAAUCUUUACACGAUGAAUUUCGAGUGCCUUGGUGAUUGGGAGAGAGUUAUGCAGGAGGGGCCAUGGAAUUUUAGAGGUAAUGUCGUCAUCAUAACUCGAUACGAUGGCGUGACCCAGCCUCCCAAGUAA
rnacentral:rRNA from 1 species